rnacentral:rRNA from 1 species
CCUACGGGUGGCAGCAGUCGAGAAUCAUUCACAAUGGGGGAAACCCUGAUGGUGCGACGCCGCGUGGGGGAAUGAAGGUCUUCGGAUUGUAAACCCCUGUCAUGUGGGAGCAAAUUAAAAAGAUAGUACCACAAGAGGAAGAGACGGCUAACUCUGUGCCAGCAGCCGCGGUAAUACAGAGGUCUCAAGCGUUGUGCGGAAUCACUGGGCGGAAAGCGUUGGUAGGCGGGUUCGUAAGUCGUGUGUGAAAGGCGCGGGCUCAACCCGCGGACGGCACAUGAUACUGCGAGACUAGAGUAAUGGAGGGGGAACCGGAAUUCUCGGUGUAGCAGUGAAAUGCGUAGAUAUCGAGAAGAACACUCGUGGCGAAGGCGGGUUCCUGGACAUUAACUGACGCUGAGGCACGAAGGCCAGGGGAGCGAAAGGGAUUAGAUACCCUUGUAGUC